rnacentral:lncRNA from 1 species
AGGGGAUUCGCCCAUGUCAUCAACAAUGAGGUCAUCAAGCCUAGUGGGGACUUCUACGAACGUGUGGAACAAGUGGUGACUAGGGUUCACCCACAACAAUAGCUUCAAACUUGAAAUGAGAUACAUUUGUAUUCUUUAUAUGCUUCUGUGAAAUUUUGACACUUUGUAAUCAAUGUCGUGAAGUGAGAUACAUUUGUAUUCUAUAUAUGCUUUAAAUCAUGUGGCUUUAUAUACAUUUGUAUGCUUUAAAUGAUGUGGCUGUGUAUUUUUCUGUGAUGUGCUGUGUUGUGUAUUCAAAUAUAUAUUUUUCUGUGUAUUUUUUAUGUAUUUUCUGUGGUUUUAAUUAUUUUUUUAAUUACUGAAAAUGUAUCAGUGUCGGUCGCUCGCCCGACACUGAUGUGGCAAAGCAACCGUUACUGAUGAUGGUAUCUCAGUAACGGUCGGGUCAGGCCGCCCGCCAUUGAUGAUAUGUACAUCAGUAACGGUCGCUCUGAAGAACAGAUGUUGUUUUUCGACCGUUACUGAUAAGCCUUUCUGUAGUAGUGUUCCUUAAUAGAUUGAAAGCGACCAUUUUUCAUAGAGCCAUCCGGCACAGGCAAACCAAGAUACUUUUCUUCAAAGGCC